rnacentral:lncRNA from 1 species
CUCGAUCACAAACACAUUUUAACCGUUCUGAUUGGUCCCAGAAACCAAUGGGUUGGGCCAGAGCCAGAACACAUGUGGGUAAAGUGGCAUUUUGAACAUUGGUCAUUGGCUUUGAUUCUUCAAUUGGUUAGAGAUGAUCCAAUCGCUGAUUACUUUGUUUUGUACAACACCCCUCGUUUUGGCAGUCUCAGACUGAAGUAUGUAGCGAACACAGAGCAGUGGAAGAAUUAUUUGAAAUUGUCAGGCAAUAGUUUAUUCCCAUUAGUAGGCUACACCAGGACUAACCUCUUGACGCUAGCGGAGAGCAUCGACCAUGUCCCUGGCCGGUGGUUCCUGGUCCCCUAGCUGAUGCUGUCCCCCACGGCAUACCUCCACCCCCCCUGGACUUUGAGGGGUACGCUGUCAGAUCCCUACUGGACUCCCGACGUCGUGGGGGUUGGCUCCAGUACCUGGUGGACUGGGAGGGGUAUGGUCCAGAGGAGCAGUGUUGGGUUCCGGUGGAGGACAUUCUGGACCCCAACAUCAUUCGUGAUUUCCACCUUCGCCGCCCGGACCGACCCGCUUCCCAUCCUCGGUGUAGUCCCCCUGCUGGUGUUCGACCUGCGGCUAUUUUCAGGUCUCUGCAGAGAUGUUUGAUCCGGUUCAAGUCUGGGAUCUGGCUGGGCCACUCAAAGGCAUUCAGAGACUUGUCCUGAAGCCACUCCUGUGUUGUCUUGGCUGUGUGCUUAGGGUCAUUGUCCUGUUGGAAAGUGAACCUUCACCCCAGUCUUAGAUCCUGAGCGUUCUGGAGCAGGUUUUCAUCAAGGAUCUCUUUACUUUGCUCCGUUCAUCUUUGCCUCAAUCGUGACAAGUCUCCCAGUCCCUGCCGCUGAAAAACAUCCCCUCUCUCUAUCUCUUUCUCUUCAACAGUAAUGGAGCUGUUUUCUUCACACACAAAAUUAGAGUUAAUUUCUUGAGAUGAGUCAGUUUUCGUGGGUCUCUGACAUUCUCACAGACGGGCUGACAGCUUGUAAGAAAGAAAGAGAGAGACGAGAGAGGGCGAUAGAGAGAUAUACAGUACCAGCCAAAAGUUUGGACAAACUUACUCAUUCAAGGGUUUUUCUUUAUUUUUACUAUUUUCUACAUUGUAGAAUAAUAGUGAAGACAUUUACAUUUUAGUCAUUUAGCAGAUGCUCUUAUCCAGAGCGACUUACAAAUUGGUGCAUUCACCUUAUAAUAUCCAGUGGAACAACCACUUUACAAUAGUGCAUCUAAAUCUUUUAAGGGGGGGGUUAGAAGGAUUACUUUAUCCUAUCCCAGGUAUUCCUUGAAGAGGUGGGGUUUCAGGUGUCUCCGGAAGGUGGUG